AACGAACGCUGGCGGCAUGCCUAACACAUGCAAGUCGAACGGGAUCCUAGCUUGCUAGGUGAGAGUGGCGGACGGGUGAGUAACACGUGGGAAUCUGCCUUUUGGUUCGGGAUAACCGCGGGAAACUGCGGCUAAUACCGAAUGCCCUCGAGAGAGGAAAGAUUUAUCGCCAGAAGAGGAGCCCGCGUCCGAUUAGGUAGUUGGUGGGGUAAAGGCCUACCAAGCCGACGAUCGGUAGCUGGUCUGAGAGGAUGAUCAGCCACACUGGGACUGAGAUACGGCCCAGACUCCUACGGGAGGCAGCAGUGGGGAAUAUUGGACAAUGGGGCAACCCUGAUCCAGCAAU
rnacentral:rRNA from 1 species